AACAAAUGCUAACAUGGCAACUUAUUUUAUGAAAAUAACCGGUAACUAAUAAUUUCAUGUUAAAAUGUGGCCUUAUUCUCUAGAGUAAUUUCCACCACUUAAAUUAUUUUACAGAGGAAUUAUUCAUAUUGUUUCAUAAAGAUAUUUUUCUAUUUGCUUGCUUCAGAUUUUAAACCAUGCCUGAAUUUCUGGAACACGCUUAUGUAGAUUACAGGCAUAUCUUUCUUUUUUCAAGACAGUUAGCAUUAAAAAAAUAGAAGCCUUUUUUUCCUUAUGUUCUGCAAAAUUUUUGGUGUUCAAUACUUUCUACUUUAAUUUUUUGUAAUUGUGUUGCAAUUUUUUUUCAAAUAUAUUCUCUUCACAAAAUUAUUUCUCUAUUCAGGCUGGAAGCAAAAAAACAGGAUUUGCUUAUAAAUCCUUGAGAGAGGAAGAUACAACCAUCCCUGAACUUAGAAGAGUUAACCAGACACACAAAACAAAUUAAAAAAUAGUGAGCUCCUAGCACCUGGAGACCUGCCAGGGGCAAUUAAAGGUCAGUCGCAGCUGUGACUGGUUAUUAAAAAAGGGCUUUUGUAGGAAGUGAAGUUUUGAGUCCCCAUAGGAGGUCUUAGUGUUGUGGAGAGAGUGGUUGGUUGAAGAGCUGGUGUGAAACUUCACACUUCCUGCAUGCAAAAAAAAUGUUGCAUCAGAAGUCAGCGAUGGUUCCACAGACAACAAGGGAAGAAAAUAGUUGUUAAUGAGUGGCUGCUAAGGGAAGAGUUUGGCUUUGCAAUGUCCAGCUAUCAUGACAGAUAUGUUACCAUUGACUCUGGAUUUUGCCACCCUGAAAUCUCCUCAAGCCAAGAGAGGGAACCUGAAAAAGACCACCUAUAGGAACACUUGCACCCUGCCCCUGACCUGGACAUCUUCAACUAUGAAGAAGCUAUUCCUGGCUGCUUCUUGUUUUAGAAACCGGGAGAGGUGGGGAAAAAAAUCCCCUUCUGAAAGGUCACUAGAAAGAUUUGAGAUGGAAGUCAUGGGAAACAGGAAACUCAGAAAUGUUACAGUAUUUUAACAUUAGUCUAUGAAUAUCAAAUUGAAAGUAUUUAUAAUCUACUUAGUUGUUCAUGAGAAAUGCAGUAACUUCUGCACUAUCAAGUGUGAGGAACACUUUCCAUUGUCUUUGAAGCAUGAUAGAAAAAUUGUAGUCU
rnacentral:lncRNA from 1 species